AUUGAACGCUGGCGGCAGGCCUAACACAUGCAAGUCGAGCGGAUGAGUGGAGCUUGCUCCAUGAUUCAGCGGCGGACGGGUGAGUAAUGCCUAGGAAUCUGCCUGGUAGUGGGGGACAACGUUUCGAAAGGAACGCUAAUACCGCAUACGUCCUACGGGAGAAAGCAGGGGACCUUCGGGCCUUGCGCUAUCAGAUGAGCCUAGGUCGGAUUAGCUAGUAGGUGAGGUAAAGGCUCACCUAGGCGACGAUCCGUAACUGGUCUGAGAGGAUGAUCAGUCACACUGGAACUGAGACACGGUCCAGACUCCGACGGGAGGCAGCAGUGGGGAAUAUUGGACAAUGGGCGAAAGCCUGAUCCAGCCAUGCCGUGUGUGUGAAGAAGGUCUUCGGAUUGUAAAGCACUUUAAGUUGGGAGGAAGGGCAGUAAGUUAAUACCUUGCUGUUUUGACGUUACCAACAGAAUAAGCACCGGCUAACUUCGUGCCAGCAGCCGCCGCCG
rnacentral:rRNA from 1 species